AUUGAACGCUGGCGGCAGGCCUAACACAUGCAAGUCGAGCGGAUGAAGGGAGCUUGCUCCUGGAUUCAGCGGCGGACAGGUGAGUAAUGCCUAGGAAUCUGCCUGGUAGUGGGGGAUAACGUCCGGAAACGGGCGCUAAUACCGCAUACGUCCUGAGGGAGAAAGUGGGGGAUCUUCGGACCUCACGCUAUCAGAUGAGCCUAGGUCGGAUUAGCUAGUUGGUGGGGUAAAGGCCUACCAAGGCGACGAUCCGUAACUGGUCUGAGAGGAUGAUCAGUCACACUGGAACUGAGACACGGUCCAGACUCCUACGGGAGGCAGCAGUGGGGAAUAUUGGACAAUGGGCGAAAGCCUGAUCCAGCCAUGCCGCGUGUGUGAAGAAGGUCUUCGGAUUGUAAAGUACUUUAAGUUGGGAGGAAGGGCAGUAAGUUAAUACCUUGCUGUUUUGACGUUACCAACAGAAUAAGCACCGGCUAACUUCGUG
rnacentral:rRNA from 1 species